UACGGAGGGUGCGAGCGUUAAUCGGAAUUACUGGGCGUAAAGCGCACGUAGGCUGUUUUGUAAGUCAGGGGUGAAAGCCCACGGCUCAACCGUGGAAUUGCCCUUGAUACUGCGGGACUUGAAUUCGGGAGAGGAUGGCGGAAUUCCAGGUGUAGGAGUGAAAUCCGUAGAUAUCUGGAGGAACAUCAGUGGCGAAGGCGGCCAUCUGGAUCGAUAUUGACGCUGAGGUGCGAAAGCGUGGGGAG
rnacentral:rRNA from 1 species